UACGGAAGGCAGCAGUGGGGAAUAUUGCACAAUGGGCGAAAGCCUGAUGCAGCUAUGCCGCGUGUAUGAAGAAGGCCUUAGGGUUGUAAAGUACUUUCAUCGGGGAGGAAAAAACAAAACUAAUAAUUUUAUUUCUUGACGUUACCCGAAAAAGAAGCACCGGCUAACUCCGUGCCAGCAGCCGCGGUAAUACGGAGGGUGCUAGCGUUAAUCAGAAUUACUGGGCGUAAAGAGCACGUAGGUGGUUUUUUUAAGUCAGAUGUGAAAUCCCUGGGCUUAACCUGGAACUGCAUUUUGAAACUGAAAUACUAGAGUAUCGUAGAGGGAGGUAGAAUUCUAGGUGUAGCGGUGAAAUGCGUAGAUAUCUGGAGGAAUACCUGUGGCGAAAGCGGCCUCCUAAACGAAUACUGACACUGAGGUGCGAAAGCUGGGGAGCAAACAGGGAUUAGAUACCCGU
rnacentral:rRNA from 1 species